AGUUUUAUAGUUUAAGAAGAAUGCAGGUUUUGGGGAUCUGAGGUCUCUUUAGAGUAAAUUGAG
rnacentral:tRNA from 1 species